rnacentral:rRNA from 1 species
AGGACGAACGCUGGCGGCGUGCCUAACACAUGCAAGUCGAACGGAGAAUUUCAAUAAGUUUACUUAGAGGAAUUUUUAGUGGCGGACGGGUGAGUAACGCGUGGGUAACCUACCCAUAAACUCGGGACAACCCUUGGAAACGAGGGCUAAUACCGGAUAAGCUUUGAGCUUGGCAUCAAGCGAAAAGAAAAGGUGGCCUCUGAAGAUGCUACCGAUUAUGGAUGGACCCGCGUCUGAUUAGCUAGUUGGUGGGGUAAAGGCCUACCAAGGCGACGAUCAGUAGCCGGCCUGAGAGGGUGAACGGCCACACUGGGACUGAGACACGGCCCAGACUCCUACGGGAGGCAGCAGUGGGGAAUCUUCCGCAAUGGACGAAAGUCUGACGGAGCAACGCCGCGUGUAUGAUGAAGGUCUUCGGAUUGUAAAGUACUGUCUUUGGGGAAGAAUGAUGCGUUUGAAAAUAUUGAGUGCAUAUGACGGUACCCAAGGAGGAAGCCCCGGCUAACUACGUGCCAGCAGCCGCGGUAAUACGUAGGGGGCAAGCGUUGUCCGGAAUUAUUGGGCGUAAAGGGCGCGUAGGCGGGUAUUUAAGUCCGGUGUGAAAGAUCAGGGCUCAACCCUGAGAGUGCAUCGGAAACUGGGUAUCUUGAGGACAGGAGAGGAAAGUGGAAUUCCACGUGUAGCGGUGAAAUGCGUAGAUAUGUGGAGGAACACCAGUGGCGAAGGCGACUUUCAGGACUGUAACUGACGCUGAGGCGCGAAAGCGUGGGGAGCAAACAGGAUUAGAUACCCUGGUAGUCCACGCCGUAAACGAUGAGUGCUAGGUGUAGAGGGUAUCGACCCCUUCUGUGCCGCAGUUAACACAAUAAGCACUCCGCCUGGGGAGUACGGCCGCAAGGUUG